rnacentral:misc_RNA from 1 species
UUUCCGUAGGUGAACCUGCGGAAGGAUCAUUAAUGAGUUGUCAUGGGGUUCGAUGCUGGCAGCCAGUUUUUGGAUGCAUGUGCUUGCCCUAACAAUCAUCUUCUUCCAAACACCUGUGCACAUUUUUGAGUGAGUCUUGAGUUGGUUGCCGCUCUUGGGUGAUUUUCUCACAUUCCCUUAAAUCAUUAUACGCUAUUAACAAUGUUGAACGUGCUCUGUGCCGCAAGGCCAUUAAUAUAAUACAACUUUUAACAACGGAUCUCUUGGCUCUC